ensembl:snRNA U6 U6 spliceosomal RNA
GUGCUCGCUUCAGCAACACAUAUAUUAAAAUUGGAAAGACAUAGAGAAGAUUAGCAUGGCC